UGUUUGUUUAAUGAGUGAUCCUGGUUUGUAUUUAUAUCGUAUGUGACUGAUCUUUCCCAUCAGGUUGAAGUGGAGGAAGAGCACUGAACUUCAAGCUUUAAAGACAUCAGGGAGAGCUGCUGAAAGCAUUUCAUCAUCCCCCAGUCACCUGACUCACUGCAUAUCAACCUUUGUAUUGGUCUGCAGUUGUUUGCUGAGUUCCAUUGCAUCACAAAUAUGAACCUUCACAACACAUUCUACAGCCAGCUGGACCAACACACGCUGCAACAGCAUACAGGCAGAAGGCCUCAGCGACAUGAGAGACAGGCGCUGCAGGAGGAUUUAUAAGCUGAACAGCAUGAUGUACACAAGAAGCACUCUGGUUCUUCAUACCCUCCCAUUGUACCUGCAAGGGGAUCUUCAAGACCUGCAAG